GGAGAGAUGGCUCAGUGGUUAAGAGCACUGACUGCUCUUCCAGAGGUCCUGAGUUCAAAUCCCAGUGACUACA
rfam:Rattus norvegicus chromosome 11, whole genome shotgun sequence.